rnacentral:rRNA from 1 species
UGUCUCAGUUCGGAUUGGAGGCUGAAACCCGCCUCCAUGAAGUUGGAUUCGCUAGUAAUCGCGCAUCAGCCAUGGCGCGGUGAAUACGUUCCCGGGCCUUGUACACACCGCCCGUCAAGCCAUGGAAGCUGGGGGUGCCUGAAGUUCGUGACCGGAAGGAGCGACCUAGGGCAAAACCGGUGACUGGGGCUAAGUCGUAACAAGGUAUC